rnacentral:tRNA from 1 species
GCCAUCGUAGCUCAGCUGGUAGAGCACUUCCAUGGUAAGGAAGGGGUCGGCGGUUCAAUUCCGCUCGUUGGCUCCA